CAGGACGAACGCUGGCGGCGUGCUUAACACAUGCAAGUCGAGCGAUGAAGCUUCUUCGGAAGUGGAUUAGCGGCGGACGGGUGAGUAACACGUGGGUAACCUGCCUCAUAGAGGGGAAUAGCCUUCCGAAAGGAAGAUUAAUACCGCAUAAGAUUGUAAUAUCGCAUGAUAUAGCAAUUAAAGGAGCAAUCCGCUAUGAGAUGGACCCGCGUCGCAUUAGCUAGUUGGUGAGGUAACGGCUCACCAAGGCGACGAUGCGUAGCCGACCUGAGAGGGUGAUCGGCCACAUUGGGACUGAGACACGGCCCAGACUCCUACGGGAGGCAGCAGUGGGGAAUAUUGCACAAUGGGGGAAACCCUGAUGCAAGCAACGCCGCGUGAGUGAUGACGGUCUUCGGAUUGUAAAGCUCUGUCUUCAGGGACGAUAAUGACGGUACCUGAGGAGGAAGCCACGGCUAACUACGUGCCAGCCGCCGC
rnacentral:rRNA from 1 species